rnacentral:rRNA from 1 species
CCUACGGGAGGCAGCAGUGGGGGAUAUUGCACAAUGGGGGGAACCCUGAUGCAGCGACGCCGCGUGGGUGAAGAAGCGCCUCGGCGCGUAAAGCCCUGUCAGCAGGGAAGAAAAUGACGGUACCUGAAGCAGAAGCCCCUGCUAACUACGUGCCAGCAGCCGCGGUAAUACGUAGGGGGCAAGCGUUAUCCGGAUUUACUGGGUGUAAAGGGGGCGCAGACGGCGAUGCAAGCCAGGAGUGAAAGCCCGGGGCCCAACCCCGGGACUGCUCUUGGAACUGGGUGGCUGGAGUGCAGGAGGGGCAGGCGGAAUUCCUGGUGUAGCGGUGAAAUGCGUAGAUAUCAGGAGGAACACCGGUGGCGAAGGCGGCCUGCUGGACGGCAACUGACGUUGAGGCCCGAAAGCGUGGGGAGCAAACAGGAUUAGAUACCCUUGUAGUC